GGGGGGGGGGGGGGGGGGGGGGGGGGGGGGGGGGGCGGGGGGCGGGGCGGGGGGGGGGGGCUGGUAGGGGGGGCGGGGGGCGGGCGGGGGCGGAGUGCAUCGGAAGCUACGUUGGCGGGGGGGGUAAGGGAGGGAAACGUACUCUGAGAGCGGAGACGACCUACGGGGGCAGGCAGGGGAGGUGCGGACCUGGCGCGAUUGAAGCAGCCGACGUCGGAUGUGCUAGGUGGCGGGGUAAAGGCCCAACAAGUCGACGAUCGGUAGCUGGUCUGAGAGUGUGAUCAUCCACACUGGAACGGAGACACGGUCCAGACUCCUACGGGAGGCAGCAGUGGGGAAUAUUGGACAAGGGGCGCAAGCCUGAUCCAGCCAGACCGCGUGGGUGAAGAAGGCCUUCGGGUUGUAAAGCCCUUCUGUUGGGAAAGAAAAGCAGCAGGUUAAUACCCCGCUGUUCUGACGGUACCCAAAGAAUAAGCACCGGCUAACUUCGUG
rnacentral:rRNA from 1 species